AUUGAACGCUGGCGGCAUGCUUUACACAUGCAAGUCGAACGGCAGCGCGGGCUUCGGCCUGGCGGCGAGUGGCGAACGGGUGAGUAAUACAUCGGAACGUGCCCAGUAGUGGGGGAUAGCUCGGCGAAAGCCGGAUUAAUACCGCAUACGACCUGAGGGUGAAAGCGGGGGAUUUUCGGCCCUCCCCCUAUUGGAGCGGCCGUUGGCAGAUUAGCUAGUGGGUGGGGUAAAGGCCUACCAAGGCGACGAUCUGUAGCUGGUCUGAGAGGACGACCAGCCACACUGGGACUGAGACACGGCCCAGACUCCUACGGGAGGCAGCAGUGGGGAAUUUUGGACAAUGGGCGAAAGCCUGAUCCAGCAAUGCCGCGUGUGUGAUGGAGGCCUUCGGGUUGUAAAGCACUUUUGGCGGGAACGAAAAGGACUGUGCCAAUACCACGGUUCGAUGACGGUACCCGCAGAAUAAGCACCGGCUAACUACGUG
rnacentral:rRNA from 1 species